rnacentral:tRNA from 2 species
GGGCCCAUAGCUCAGCUGGAUAGAGCAACAGCCUUCUAAGCUGUAGGUCGCUGGUUCGAAUCCAGCUGGGCUCGCCA